rnacentral:rRNA from 1 species
GACGAACGCUGGCGGCGUGCUUAACACAUGCAAGUCGAACGAAGUGGCGAACGGGUGAGUAACGCGUAAUCAACCUGCCCUUCAGAGGGGGACAACAGUGGGAAAUGACGGCUAAUACCGCAUACUGAUGGAUGGACCCGCGGUGCAUGAGCUAGUUGGUGAGUGAACGGCUCACCAAGGCCCCGAUGCAUAGCCGACCUGAGAGGGUGAUCGGCCAAACUGGGACUGAGACACGGCCCAGACUCCUACGGGAGGCAGCAGGAGGGAAUCUUCGGCAAUGGACGAAAGUCUGACGGAGCAACGCCGCGUGAGUGAUGACGGCCUUCGGGUUGUAAAGCUCUGUUAAUCGGGACGCGGUACCGGAAUAGAAAGCCACGGCUAACUACGUGCCAGCAGCCGCGGUAAUAC